rnacentral:rRNA from 1 species
CCUACGGGUGGCAGCAGUCGAGAAUCAUUCACAAUGGGGGAAACCCUGAUGGUGCGACGCCGCGUGGGGGAAUGAAGGUCUUCGGAUUGUAAACCCCUGUCAUGUGGGAGCAAAUUAAAAAGAUAGUACCACAAGAGGAAGAGACGGCUAACUCUGUGCCAGCAGCCGCGGUAAUACAGAGGUCUCAUGCGUUGUUCGGAAUCACUGGGCGUAAGGCGUGCGUAGGCGUUUUCGUAAGUCGUGUGUGAAAGGCGCGGGCUCAACCCGCGGACGGAACAUGAUACUGCGAGACUAGAGUAAUGGAGGGGGAACCGGAAUUCUUGGUGUAGCAGUGAAAUGCGUAGAUAUCGAGAGGAACACUCGUUGCGAAGGCGGGUUCCUGGACAUUAACUGACGCUGAGGCACGAAGGCCAGGGGAGCGAAAGGGAUUAGAUACCCGUGUAGUC